AGCGAACGCUGGCGGCAGGCUUAACACAUGCAAGUCGAGCGGGCACUUCGGUGUCAGCGGCAGACGGGUGAGUAACACGUGGGAACGUGCCCUUCGGUUCGGAAUAACUCAGGGAAACUUGAGCUAAUACCGGAUACGCCCUUUGGGGGAAAGGUUUACUGCCGAAGGAUCGGCCCGCGUCUGAUUAGCUAGUUGGUGGGGUAAUGGCCUACCAAGGCGACGAUCAGUAGCUGGUCUGAGAGGAUGAUCAGCCACACUGGGACUGAGACACGGGCCCAGACUUCCG
rnacentral:rRNA from 1 species